UACGAAGGGGGCUAGCGUUGUUCGGAAUUACUGGGCGUAAAGCGCACGUAGGCGGAUUAGUAAGUUAGGGGUGAAAUCCCAAGGCUCAACCUUGGAACUGCCUUUAAUACUGCUAGUCUAGAGAUCGGGAGAGGUGUAUGGAACUCCUAGUGUAGAGGUGGAAUUCGUAGAUAUUAGGAAGAACACCAGUGGCGAAGGCGAUACACUGGCCCGAUACUGACGCUGAGGUGCGAAAGCGUGGGGAGCAAACAGG
rnacentral:misc_RNA from 1 species